GGGCCCGCACAAGCGGUGGAGCAUGUGGUUUAAUUCGAUGCAACGCGAAGAACCUUACCUACUCUUGACAUCCUUGGAAUCCUCUGGAGACAGAGGAGUGCCUUCGGGAACCAAGUGACAGGUGCUGCAUGGCUGUCGUCAGCUCGUGUCGUGAGAUGUUGGGUUAAGUCCCGUAACGAGCGCAACCCUCGUCCUUAGUUGCCAGCACGUCAUGGUGGGAACUCUAAGGAGACUGCCGGUGAUAAACCGGAGGAAGGUGGGGAUGAUGUCAAGUCAUCAUGGCCCUUACGAGUAGGGCUACACACGUGCUACAAUGGGCAGUACAAAGGGUUGCCAAGCCGCGAGGUGGAGCUAAUCCCAUAAAGCUGUUCGUAGUCCGGAUCGCAGUCUGCAACUCGACUGCGUGAAGUUGGAAUCGCUAGUAA
rnacentral:rRNA from 1 species